GAUGAACGCUGGCGGCGUGCCUAAUACAUGCAAGUCGAGCGAACGGACGAGAAGCUUGCUUCUCUGAUGUUAGCGGCGGACGGGUGAGUAACACGUGGAUAACCUACCUAUAAGACUGGGAUAACUUCGGGAAACCGGAGCUAAUACCGGAUAAUAUUUUGAACCGCAUGGUUCAAAAGUGAAAGACGGUCUUGCUGUCACUUAUAGAUGGAUCCGCGCUGCAUUAGCUAGUUGGUAAGGUAACGGCUUACCAAGGCAACGAUGCAUAGCCGACCUGAGAGGGUGAUCGGCCACACUGGAACUGAGACACGGUCCAGACUCCUACGGGAGGCAACAGUAGGGAAUCUUCCGCAAUGGGCGAAAGCCUGACGGAGCAACGCCGCGUGAGUGAUGAAGGUCUUCGGAUCGUAAAACUCUGUUAUUAGGGAAGAACAUAUGUGUAAGUAACUGUGCACAUCUUGACGGUACCUAAUCAGAAAGCCACGGCUAACUACGUGCCAGCAGCCGCGGUAAUACGUAGGUGGCAAGCGUUAUCCGGAAUUAUUGGGCGUAAAGCGCGCGUAGGCGGUUUUUUAAGUCUGAUGUGAAAGCCCACGGCUCAACCGUGGAGGGUCAUUGGAAACUGGAAAACUUGAGUGCAGAAGAGGAAAGUGGAAUUCCAUGUGUAGCGGUGAAAUGCGCAGAGAUAUGGAGGAACACCAGUGGCGAAGGCGACUUUCUGGUCUGUAACUGACGCUGAUGUGCGAAAGCGUGGGGAUCAAACAGGAUUAGAUACCCUGGUAGUCCACGCCGUAAACGAUGAGUGCUAAGUGUUAGGGGGUUUCCGCCCCUUAGUGCUGCAGCUAACGCAUUAAGCACUCCGCCUGGGGAGUACGACCGCAAGGUUGAAACUCAAAGGAAUUGACGGGGACCCGCACAAGCGGUGGAGCAUGUGGUUUAAUUCGAAGCAACGCGAAGAACCUUACCAAAUCUUGACAUCCUUUGACAACUCUAGAGAUAGAGCCUUCCCCUUCGGGGGACAAAGUGACAGGUGGUGCAUGGUUGUCGUCAGCUCGUGUCGUGAGAUGUUGGGUUAAGUCCCGCAACGAGCGCAACCCUUAAGCUUAGUUGCCAUCAUUAAGUUGGGCACUCUAAGUUGACUGCCGGUGACAAACCGGAGGAAGGUGGGGAUGACGUCAAAUCAUCAUGCCCCUUAUGAUUUGGGCUACACACGUGCUACAAUGGACAAUACAAAGGGCAGCGAAACCGCGAGGUCAAGCAAAUCCCAUAAAGUUGUUCUCAGUUCGGAUUGUAGUCUGCAACUCGACUACAUGAAGCUGGAAUCGCUAGUAAUCGUAGAUCAGCACGCUACGGUGAAUACGUUCCCGGGUCU
rnacentral:rRNA from 1 species